UAUCUCUACUAGAUGGUCGCUCCGGUUACACCGGAGAGGAAAGUCCGGGCACCCGCCAAUUUUGUUCGCCAAAGGCGAUUGUAAAAUUGAGCGUCCCGACCACAAGGUCGGGGCAACCCCGAUGUAAAGUCGGAGUACUCAAUUUUACUGCUACACUUCGUGUAGGCAAAAUUAGCAGAAGAUGGUAACGGCUAACGGCCGCCUUUCGGUAAAACCGAAACGAGAUAGUGCCACAGAGACAAAACCGCCAAACAUCAUGAAACCAAGUUUAAAGCUUGGUGAAUGAAAGAGGUAAGGGUGAAAAGAGUGGAGUAAGAGCCCACAAACAGCGUCGGCAACGGCGCUGUGCGGAAAACACUUACCUGGUGCAAGUCCCGGUUACACCGGGACGCUUGAUUCCGGUAGUAAUAUCGGAACUAGAUAGAUGACCAUCAUCCCGGUUACACCGGGAUACAGAACCCGGCUUAUAGGUAGAGAUAAAAC
rnacentral:RNase_P_RNA from 2 species